GAGUGCCCGCAUAGAAAAACACAAUUUGCCUUACAUUGAAAACAGUAUUUCAAUUCUAACUAAUAUGGUUAGAAUAUCACAAACUGUGCCAAUUAUGUUUGACAAUUUGGAAUUUUUGGCGUCGAACUGUAAAACACGGUUUAGGUAAUUCAUGCCAAACAGUGACAACAUGCCACAGUGUAAAGGAACGGUUAAAUUGUAAUGUGAUCAACAUUUCCGAUAUAUGGUAGAAAUGUACCUUAACAAUCUGUGGAACGGUAUCCGUUUGAAUUAUAAAUAACACACUUACACAUGUGCAUUUUACCAUAUAUUACUUAUUUCUAACAGUUCGAGAAACAGUUGUGGUCGUCAGUAUUUGUGAACUUUUUGAAGCGUGCGUGGUUUUGUUUAUUUUGUGAAAACGCGUGUGGAUUUUUUUGGAGAGAACAGAAAAAAGUGCAGUUCUCGGAUAAACAAAUGGAGUUGUGGCCAAGAACCCUGCUGUUCCUAGGUGGACCGUCAACAGCCACCAGCUCAUAAGAGUGCGCAACUAAAUUGGAAAAUAGAACCAGCAUUUCCCGUAUUUGACCACCACAGAUCACUGUCUUCGUCAAACCCGCAGUGAUAAAACCUCUGAAAUAGGUUCCACAGACUGUUCCAGUUGAACGGAUUUGGCUGUAAUCGUGAUGGUACGCAAGAGAUACAUAGAAGCUAGAAGUUGGCGCCGGCAGAGAUGGGGUUGUUUGAUUUGAAUCCUGUGUUUCUACCAUUGCAUUACUCCCUGUAAAGCGAACCAAAUGAUUAAGAAGCAAACAGAGUAAAGAAUGUGAAAUUGUCGAAAAUGCCACAUAAUAGUCCUUCGGAUUUUGCUGCUUCUAACUCUGUGCUAAUACUAUUCCUAAAAGUGCUGAACUAUUAUAGUAUAAUACUAUUACUAAAUUUUAGUUUAUUAGAUAAUGUGAUAAGUUUAAAAUGACUAAGAAAAAUAUAAAAAAUAUGUUUAUCUAGAUUUUAUUUCUUUAUAGUAUCAACACAACACAACGGUGAGCAUAGGGUUCAAAGACAAUAACGCACCAUAAACCAAUAAUAAUACAUACAUUAUUUGA